CGGACGGGUGAGUAAUGUCUGGGAAACUGCCUGAUGGAGGGGGAUAACUACUGGAAACGGUAGCUAAUACCGCAUAACGUCGCAAGACCAAAGAGGGGGACCUUCGGGCCUCUUGCCAUCGGAUGUGCCCAGAUGGGAUUAGCUAGUAGGUGGGGUAAAGGCUCACCUAGGCGACGAUCCCUAGCUGGUCUGAGAGGAUGACCAGCCACACUGGAACUGAGACACGGUCCAU
rnacentral:rRNA from 1 species